UACAGAGGGGGCGAGCGUUGUUCGGAAUUACUGGGCGUAAAGGGCGCGUAGGCGGCCAACUAAGUCAGACGUGAAAUCCCUCGGCUCAACCGGGAACUGCGUCUGAUACUGGAUGGCUUGAAUUCGGGAGAGGGAUGCGGAAUUCCAGGUGUAGCGGUGAAAUGCGUAGAUAUCAGGAGGAACACCAAUAGCGAAGGCAGCUCGCUGGGACGGUAAUUGACGCUAAGGCGCGAAAGCGUGGGGAGCAAACAGG
rnacentral:rRNA from 1 species